rnacentral:lncRNA from 1 species
AUGCAUGAAAAUCCUAACCUCAAAAAAAUCACCCGUUAGAUAUGAUAAGGAUGACGAGAAAAGUUGAAAUCAGGUUGACUCUCUGUCUGUCCGUCCGUUCGUACGUGCAAGCUAUAACUGGAGUAAAAAUUAAGAUAUUUCGAUGAAACUUGGUAUGUGGGUUGUUUAAUACAAAAAAAAUUACGAGUUCGUAGAUGGGUGUAACGGACAACUGACACGCACACAAAUCGCCAUUAACCGAAAACAUAUGUAUAAAGCAAUAUGUUAACAUAUAAAGCUGUAAUUUGGUACACAGGAUCGCAGUAGAAGGGGGCAACUGUGAGCAAAAUUUUUUGAAAAAGUAUAUCUUCUAAGCCACUAAAGCUACAACUACCAAAUUCGCCCAGCACGAAUACUAACAAAAUUCGUACCGGUAGUGUGAAAAUGGAUGAAGUCGGAUGACAACUCUGCUCCCUCACCAUAUAACCGUACCAUUUAUUUAGCGCGAUAAAUCAAUAACUAAAUGCACCGGAAAGGUAAAAGUUUACCGCAGGCAUGGAAUGACAAGGUUUUAUAGAGGCCGGGGAAAAUUGGACAGUAGGACAAUAACUCUUUAACGCUCUUGCUACACAACGAUAAAAUGUCUAAAAGUUAAUUACGUGUACAUGCCUUCCUUAAAUGUAGAAAAAACGCUUUCAUUUAUUUUCUACAGAACGUUUAUUAUUGUGUUACAUGUUCUUUUACUAGCCAGUACACUAAUCGGGAAGCAAAUGUUAUAACGGAAUUAAAAGAAAAUAAGAGAACGUGGUUUACUCAUAACAGCGACUCUUUAUGCCUAAAAUAGAUAAAUUUUAGCGGAAACUUUACUUAAUAUAACUAAUAUCAACAUUUUUGAGCAUCCGGCUGACUUUACUCUAUAUGAUUAGUAGUUUAGUAAAUCAAGUGUGAAUAGUAUGUGGUAUUGGAAAAAAUAGAUAAAAUAUUCUAUAUACCACAUAUAAUGGUUUUCGUUUUUCUAACAAACCUUAUGCUUAUGUCAGUAGAGGAUCUAUAUAUAUUAUAUGUAGAUUUAAAAUUGCUUGGAUUUCGAUCCUCAGGUUGACGUUUUACCCCAUAAAGCAUUUCCCUGGGCUUGAUUAUUGUGUUUGUGGAUAAAAGAUAAAUAAUAAAUGGAAAAUGAAUUCAUCUGAAACUAAUAAUGGCAAAAUUAAACGUGUCCGCUGCAAUCCAACAAGAAGGUGGACGGUGCCAGAAGAAAAUUCGCUUAUGGACUUUCUAUCUGAAGAUUCCCAAUUUAAAAAGCCGUCUGCUUAAUCAUAUUAUAAACGUUUUUGUGAAGAAUACAAAAUUCAAAUGGAAUGGAAGUUGGUGCGAACAAAGGUUAGAAAUCUGCGAAUUAGUUAGAAUAAGGUCAAAAAUGGGAAGACUCGACGGGAGCAUGUAGCAUGGAUACCAUUAAAGGUACCUUAUUAAAAAUGUGUAGCCCGUAUUACAAUUUGAGCCAUUCUUGGGAGCAGGGUAUGUGAUUGCUCCAUAAUAGAUAGAUACGAUGACGAAAGACGCUAUUGCUGUUGAGGGAGAUAUAGAAACUCCAACACCAGUAGUAUCUGAGUUUGAAGAGAAUGCACAAAAUGCAGAAUACAUUUUAAGUCCGAGACUUAAUGUCAAUCCAGGUGAUAGCACAAGCCGCAAAGGUAUAUAUAGUCGAACAGGCGUCUCGUAAAUUAUGAAAGUUCAUAAGGGUUCAAAAACAAAAGUUGGAGGCAGAUUGUGCCGCCAGGAAUUGGGAGCUGAGUUGAUUUAAAAGAAAAAGAAUUUCAGCUUAAGAAAAAAUGUCCGAAAGUCAAGGAAAGUAUAAAAUUCUUGAACUUGAAAUGAAGGAGCGAUUAGCUAUGGCUGAAGAAAAUGGGACUCAAGUUUUCCAUAUAAAAAAUUGUCAACUUUAUGAGGUAAAUUUUUCGACAUACCUUUUGUAUAAACAUUUUUCACUUGCAUACGGACAUAUAUUAAAUAAAAUUUCUCCGAUUUGCUAAAAAAGAAUAUUAACAUAUAUUUUUAUUCAGGGUUUUUUCGAACUUGUUGUAAAUAAAUAAUUAAAUCUAUUCUAAAUGAAAUAGUUGUUAACAAAUUGUAUUUAUUGAAUAAAACUGUAUAUAAAAAUACGAUUCUUUAGAAAUCAUGAACAUUAUGCAAAAAAAAAAUAAUAAUAAUACGUUAAACUUUUAUGAAAACGGCGUUCUAGUUCUUUGCAAGCAUAUAUUCUUAAGACACUAAAUGCUUGGUUGAUUCUGAAUGAAAUUUAAUCGACUACAUCUAAGAUUUGUUGAAGGCAAAAAAUUGGUGCAGAGUUCAAUAUUGUUUUUAUGAACUUCGUUGUUUGAACUCAUGCAGAAUACAACAAACCAUCAUCCAUUUAUUACACUCUUUUUUGUUUUCCAUACUAGUUAAGUUAGAGAACUUUUCUUUUAAUGUUUCGAAACAAUGUUCAGUGCGCACACGGUAUUUAGAAAAUAACUUAUUUAACUUGUCCUUUUCUUGUCUGGAAUAUUCUAUAUACUAUUUUGCCUAAAUGGUGUUCCUUCAAUGGAUAUGCUAUCCAUUGCGAAGUUGAAAAAAAUCGAUUCGGAUAUUGAAAGCCAACUUUCGGAAAAAAUUUUCGCAUCAUGAACACUUCCCGGGUAACCGAAUGUGUUAUACGUAACCGAUGAUCACCGAUUACUUGCAUUUCGACAAAAUAUUAGCGAUUACGAGAAAAAAGAUUUCAUGAUUCCUACUAGGUUCCUCGGCCAAUCUAAUUUUGGAAGAAUCAAUAUAGUUUGGAUGUCCAGACAUUUCAUUUAUUCUAAAGUUAUCCUCGAUCUCCUCCUGUUGAUCAUCAGCACCUAAAACAAACAUAAUUUUUAAAUAAAAUUUGUACAAUAAAUUUUUGAUACUUUCUUCCAUUGUGGGAAUUUCUUCAGCAUAUCUUUCACAAAUUGCACCUAUUAACUUCUCUUUUUCACUUUUUUUUAUUUUCAUUUCUAUUAUUUU